rnacentral:rRNA from 1 species
UGAAGCGGCAACAGCUCAAAUUUGAAAUCUGGCCUCGGCCCGAGUUGUAAUUUGCAGAGGAUGUUUCUGGCGCGGUGCCUUCCGAGUUCCCUGGAACGGGACGCCACAGAGGGUGAGAGCCCCGUAUGGUUGGACACUAAGCCUGUGUGAAACUCCUUCGACGAGUCGAGUAGUUUGGGAAUGCUGCUCAAAAUGGGAGGUAAAUCUCUUCUAAAGCUAAAUACCGGCCAGAGACCGAUAGCGCACAAGUAGAGUGAUCGAAAGAUGAAAAGCACCUUGAAAAGGGGGUUAAACAGUACGUGAAAUUGUUGAAAGGGAAGCGCUUGUGACCAGACUUGCGCCGGGCGGCUCAUCCGGGGUUCUCCCCGGUGCACUCCGCCCGGCUCAGGCCAGCAUCGGUUCUCGUUGGGGGAUAAGAACGGCAGGAACGUGGCCCUCCUUCGGGUGGGUGUUAUAGCCUGCCGUACGAUACCCUGACGGGGACCGAGGUUCGCGCUCCGCAAGGAUGCUGGCGUAAUGGUCAUCAGCGACCCGUCUUGAAACACGGACCAAGGAGUCGUCCAUUAGAGCGAGCGUUUGGGUGUCAAACCCGCACGCGUAAUGAAAGUGAAAUUAGGUGAGAGCUUCGGCGCAUCAUCGACCGAUCCUGAUGUUCUCGGAUGGAUUUGAGUAAGAGUUUUAACGGACGGACCCGAAAGACAGUGAACUAUGCUUGUAUAGGGUGAAGCCAGAGGAAACUCUGGUGGAGGCUCGCAGCGGUUCUGACGUGC